CGGGAGAUAGCUGGUUCUCCCCGAAAGCUAUUUAGGUAGCGCCUCGUGAAUUCAUCUCCGGGGGUAGAGCACUGUUUCGGCAAGGGGGUCAUCCCGACUUACCAACCCGAUGCAAACUGCGAAUACCGGAGAAUGUUAUCACGGGAGACACACGGCGGGUGCUAACGUCCGUCGUGAAGAGGGAAACAACCCAGACCGCCAGCUAAGGUCCCAAAGUCAUGGUUAAGUGGGAAACGAUGUGGGAAGGCCCAGACAGCCAGGAUGUUGGCUUAGAAGCAGCCAUCAUUUAAAGAAAGCGUAAUAGCUCACUGGUCGAGUCGGCCUGCGCGGAAGAUGUAACGGGGCUAAACCAUGCACCGAAGCUGCGGCAGCGACGCUGAUGCGUUGUUGGGUAGGGGAGCGUUCUGUAAGCCUGCGAAGGUGUGCUGUGAGGCAUGCUGGAGGUAUCAGAAGUGCGAAUGCUGACAUAAGUAACGAUAAAGCGGGUGAAAAGCCCGCUCGCCGGAAGACCAAGGGUUCCUGUCCAACGUUAAUCGGGGCAGGGUGAGUCGACCCCUAAGGCGAGGCCGAAAGGCGUAGUCGAUGGGAAACAGGUUAAUAUUCCUGUACUUGGUGUUACUGCGAAGGGGGGACGGAGAAGGCUAUGUUGGCCGGGCGACGGUUGUCCCGGUUUAAGCGUGUAGGCUGGUUUUCCAGGCAAAUCCGGAAAACUAAGGCUGAGGCGUGAUGACGAGGCACUACGGUGCUGAAGCAACAAAUGCCCUGCUUCCAGGAAAAGCCUCUAAGCAUCAGGUAACAUCAAAUCGUACCCCAAACCGACACAGGUGGUCAGGUAGAGAAUACCAAGGCGCUUGAGAGAACUCGGGUGAAGGAACUAGGCAAAAUGGUGCCGUAACUUCGGGAGAAGGCACGCUGAUAUGUAGGUGAAGCGACUUGCUCGUGGAGCUGAAAUCAGUCGAAGAUACCAGCUGGCUGCAACUGUUUAUUAAAAACACAGCACUGUGCAAACACGAAAGUGGACGUAUACGGUGUGACGCCUGCCCGGUGCCGGAAGGUUAAUUGAUGGGGUCAGCGCAAGCGAAGCUCUUGAUCGAAGCCCCGGUAAACGGCGGCCGUAACUAUAACGGUCCUAAGGUAGCGAAAUUCCUUGUCGGGUAAGUUCCGACCUGCACGAAUGGCGUAAUGAUGGCCAGGCUGUCUCCACCCGAGACUCAGUGAAAUUGAACUCGCUGUGAAGAUGCAGUGUACCCGCGGCAAGACGGAAAGACCCCGUGAACCUUUACUAUAGCUUGACACUGAACAUUGAGCCUUGAUGUGUAGGAUAGGUGGGAGGCUUUGAAGUGUGGACGCCAGUCUGCAUGGAGCCGACCUUGAAAUACCACCCUUUAAUGUUUGAUGUUCUAACGUGGACCCGUAAUCCGGGUUGCGGACAGUGUCUGGUGGGUAGUUUGACUGGGGCGGUCUCCUCCUAAAGAGUAACGGAGGAGCACGAAGGUUGGCUAAUCCUGGUCGGACAUCAGGAGGUUAGUGCAAUGGCAUAAGCCAGCUUGACUGCGAGCGUGACGGCGCGAGCAGGUGCGAAAGCAGGUCAUAGUGAUCCGGUGGUUCUGAAUGGAAGGGCCAUCGCUCAACGGAUAAAAGGUACUCCGGGGAUAACAGGCUGAUACCGCCCAAGAGUUCAUAUCGACGGCGGUGUUUGGCACCUCGAUGUCGGCUCAUCACAUCCUGGGGCUGAAGUAGGUCCCAAGGGUAUGGCUGUUCGCCAUUUAAAGUGGUACGCGAGCUGGGUUUAGAACGUCGUGAGACAGUUCGGUCCCUAUCUGCCGUGGGCGCUGGAGAACUGAGGGGGGCUGCUCCU
rnacentral:rRNA from 1 species